rnacentral:rRNA from 1 species
ACGGGGGGAGCAAGCGUUGUUCGGAUUUACUGGGCGUAAAGGGCGCGUAGGCGGUCAGCACAAGUCAGUUGUGAAAUCUCCGGGCUUAACUCGGAAAGGUCAACUGAUACUGUGCGACUAGAGUGCGGAAGGGGCAACUGGAAUUCUCGGUGUAGCGGUGAAAUGCGUAGAUAUCGGGAGGAACACCUGAGGCGAAGGCGGGCUACUGGGCCGAUACUGACGCUGAUGCGCGAAAGCCAGGGGAGCGAACGGGA